AAGGAAGGCAGGCAGGCAUAAGUAUCUGAACCCUCAAUUAUUUGAGGCACACUCCUUACCCUGAAUGUAGGUACACAAAUGUGAUUGAGCUGAGCAGCAAUUUGGCAAAUGGGGGUAUCAUUUGUGUGUCCAGAGUAUGUAUUACUAGGCUUGCUCCACUUUAUGUGUCCCAACACUUUGAAAUGUUGUUAUUGUUGUUGUUGUUGUUGUUGUUAUUGUUUAAGUAAUCUCUAUGCCCAGCGCCCAACAUGGGGCUCAAACUCAUCACCUGAAGAUCAAGAGUCACACACUCCCCAAACUAAGCCAGCCAGGUGUCUCUCUGUCCCAAACCUUUUAAAAAGUAGUAUAUAGAGUCUAGAAUCCUUAGGAUCCCAUUUGGGCCAAUUUGUAUUGAGAUCUUAUAAAAACUCAGUUGAUAUAUAUUAUGAUUCAUUUGUCACUAAGAUAGUGCCUGCCUAAAUGUAUUUAAGCUGCUUAAAUUGCUCCCUAUGAGACCGCGUUGACUGUCCUAACAAGUUGUUUUGUUUUGUUUUGUUUUGUUUUGUUUUGUUUUGUUUUGUUUUGUUUUAAUUCAGAAACGCAUGAUACAAGCUUCUGAGAAGGUUGCAUUUCAACUUGAUUUAUUUCUAGUGCAAGAACGCAAGUUCCUGGAUUCUGUUUGUACUACGUGCUUCCUUGCCUUCACCUCUAGUUCAGUAUCACCACCCCUCUGGGAAGUAUAUGAGGGGGAGUGCCAUUUUACACCCAAGGACGGUGAGGGUUAGCUUGUGCAAGAUCACUCAGUAAGAAGCAAGUGCAAGAUAAAAGCCUUCACUCCUUAAAGAGUAGUACUUUUCUCAUCAGCACAGAACCAAGAGAGGCCACGCGUAUGAGACUCCAAACAUUCUUAUUUUGAAGGUGAUUACUCGAAAUGUUAAGACCUGAGCUAUGGAGGCUGUUUAUAUCGGUAACCCAACCAAUGGCCGCCUGCUUUAAAUUUGCUCAAAAUCCCCAAGGCAAGUCCUGAGCCCUGUCUCCUAUGUUUUAUGCAGAGACACCUCAAAGUAUAUUUUGCCAGACUACAAGAAUAGUGAGGCCUGCCAGAUCAGAUUUUCCCAGUUACCAGAAGCUUCUCACCUCACCUCUACUUCAGCCUCUCUGAGUCAUAACCAGUCACCCUAAAACCUAGCUUCUCUGCACUUUCUGAAUAUGGAAAUGACAAUCCUGACUUACAACACCAGGACCUGUUAAAAAGAUUGAUUUUGUAAGAAAAAUUGCAUAACUAAAGGCACCGUGGAAAGAACCUCUGAGGAGAAAAACUAGGGGACUUGUGAUAACUUCCAAAGAACAAAGCCCUCACAGGCGAGGGUGAGGGCCUCAGCACAGUCUUUUCACAGAGAUGAAGAAUCGGAAGUCUAACUGGUGGCUCACCUCAGGAGGUGAUUUUGAUUGUCAUUUUCCAUCUGUUUUGUGGAGAAUUAAAAUGAUGAAAGGUAUUUCAGACGGCAAUAAUCAUGGCCACGUAACUUGGUGUUCUGGAGCUCUGGCAACUGACAAACCCCUUUUCAAACCCACUUUGACAGACUGUCGCUUGGAAUACAUUGGGGGUAUCUUGUCCUUUGUAGGUGCCUCACAAACAUUUAUGAAAAUAAUGUCAGAAAAUGAGUUAGAGAGAUCUACUGAGGUGUGGGUUGUUUGUGUUUGAGAAACCUUGAUGCUGAUCCUAAAACACUAAAUAACACUCCCGAGUUCUCACAUGUAUCAGGCACCGUGCCAAGUGUCUUACCACAGUGCUUUCCCAGGUGUGGUUCCCUGACCCGCAGCCUGGGCACCACCUGGGAACUUGUCAAGAAUGCAGAUUCUCUGGGGGCGCCUGGGUGGCUCAGUUGGUUUGGCGUCUGACUUCAGCUCAGGUCAUGAUCUCACAGUUCGUGGGUUCGAGCCCUGCGUCGGGCUCUGUGCU